rnacentral:misc_RNA from 1 species
AACAAGGCGUACCUGCGGACCUGCGGAAGGAUCAUUAUUGAAUAAACUUGGUUGGGUUGUUGCUGGCUCCUUGGAGCAUGUGCACGCCUAGCACCAAUUUUUACCACCUGUGCACCAUUUGUGGACCUGGAUACCUCUCGAGGAAACUCGGUUGGAGGACUGCUGUGUGAAAGCCAGCUUUCCUUACAUUUCCGGUUCAUCUUUUCACAUACCCCAUACGAAUGUAUCAGACUGUUGUUU